CCCCGCUCGGCCGGGAGCCCACGUGGACUCCUGCGUUACCCACUCCGCUUUAAAAAUCUGAAGACCAGAUGUCCAGACACAAGACAUUCAGACUUCCCAAAUUCCCGGGGCAGAACUGGUUCAUCUGAGGCUCUUCAGCAGACACUCACCCUGCCUGUCCCCCAGCUUCUUUCUGAUGGUGGCCCACAUGCCUUGCCGUACAGAAGUUCCUGUGAGAGGAAUAAAAAAGCCCAUGGCUCUUGGCAUCGCCUGGAACCAACGCGAAGCUCCUCUCGGCACACGCGACCUGCGAGCGCGAGCCUAGUAUGUUUGGGUUUACUGAAAACUAUCCAGAAGGACAGCAAGCAUGCCUUCUCUCCUUCCUCCCUCCUGGGGCUGGUGAGCCUUUGAAAAGGCCUUGGCUGCUGAUGGCUGUUGUGGGAGCCCUUGAGAAGAGCCAGAGGCAAUUCAGAGAGAAAGGAAG